CUUUGUCGAUCAGGAAAUGAUAUCAUGGUGGAAACAAACGUUUAUUUUGGUUAUUUUUCUGUUUGUGAACAGCAGAUAUUUUCCAAUCACUGUUUUAUUCCCAGUCCCUGAUGGGAAUAGGGAGAGUGGAUUCCCAGAAUGUUGCUGAUCCUUCUCUCCAUCUCCCUGUGUUUUUCCCGGGUCUCUCCCGAGACUAAUGUACACACUGGGAUUUACACAAUUGUUGCUGGUUUGAAGGGUUUUCCUGAGGUUACAAGCACUGCAACAGUCAAUGGAGUUAUAAUAGCUUCUCGUGACAGUCAAACCCAACGGUGCAUCCCCAGGCAGCAGUUCAUGGCAGAUUUCUUCGAUACAAAUUUCUGGAAUUAUAUCACAGAGCUAGUGAACAGACAUGCAAACAUGGCGAAGGAAAUUCUGAGUACAAUAAUGAAGAGGACAAACCAGACAUCAGGAGUUCACAUUUUUCAACGGAUAACUACUGCUGAGGUCAGUGAUGAUGGCAGCAUUAAGAGAUCAAUGAGAUUUGGAUUUGAUGGAGAAGACUUUAUCAGUUUAGACCCGGACAGAAUGAGAUGGAUCGCAUCCAAUCCCAUUGCAGUGAUGACUAAGGAGAAAUGGGAUUCUGAUGAUUCCUGGAACAACUACUGGAAAAGACACAUGGAAGAUGCAUAUGUUGAAAAUUUGAACACAUAUCUGAAAGCUGGAAAGGAUUAUUUCAAAAGGAAAGUUCAGCCUGAAGUGUUCAUCUCCAGGAGGGAGCCCAAUGGUCAGGACAAGCCGCUCACUCUCUCCUGCCUGGUCACUGAGUUUGAUCCUGCAGACAUCGAGGUGACCUGGCUAAGGAAUGAAGAGGUCAUGUCUGAGACCCAAUCAUCAGGGGUUCGACCGAACCACGAUGGGACCCAUCAGAUCCAGAAAGAGAUUGAGAUCAAUGCUGGGGAUGAGGAUCAAUACUCCUGUCAAAUUGAACACAGCAGCCUGGCAGAGGGCAAGCUCUAUCAGUGGGAAAAUCUGAAAAGCAAUUGGCUGCAUUCCCAUCUUGGAAGUCUCAUUGCAUCAAUGGUCAUUCUAUUGGCUGUUAUUGUCGGGAUAGUCAGAAUAAUCAUCUGGAAAAGGUCACAGAGAGGUUCCCCAAGUGGGACCUACACAACAGCUCCCAGUAAGUGACUGAGGGGACAGAGUGUUGGGAAGGAUGGAUAAGUUUCUGAAGUCUCUGGUGCAGCUUCUUCAUGAUUCAAUUGAACAGUGAAUCCCAGAUCCACAAGUUUGGAUCCUGGUUCUUCAAGUGAGACCUUCUCAAGUCGUGUUUCCAUCCCGUCCCAGAAAUGUGAGCAGUGUCACCGUCAGAGGGAUCUUCACGGAUGGUUCCUCCCUCACACUUUCUCAUCUUCACUGUCUUCAAUGUGUCAGUGGUUGACCUGAAAUGAAGCAAUGUCCUGAGGGAACUCAGAGACAGUUUUUAUAUUGAAGGAAAUUGGUUUUGUAUCUGACAUUAACAAAUUUCACAUGUUAUGUAAGCUCUGUACAUAUCAGUUUUACAAAUUCUAAUUCUUAGAUAAAUAUCUAUAUAAAUACUCUAAACCUGAUUUAUUGUUGACUACUAAAAUCUGUCACAACUUAUCACCAUUGUUUAACUACAAUCACCAAUAUGUGUCAUUUGUAAUCGCUAGAAGUUAUUUAUUGUCUUAUUGAUUUUGAUGUUUUUAUUAAUGAUUCCACAGGAAUGAUUAUAUUCAUUUACACAGCAGCAGCUUGUGGCUCUUGGAAUCAGCAGAUGUUGAGCUUCAAUUCAAUGUGAACUGGGGGAGUUAUGACCAUCCAACUCCCCAACAAGCCUUCCCCAAACUAACCAGGAAGCACAAAGCGAGGUUUAUUUCAUAAGUGUGUUUCAGAACUGGAUGGUUGAUAAUGUCUGGGAGUGUUCAUUCCCCGGGGGAAGG